AUUUUACCUAUCCAACAUGUUGGGGAACCCCCUCUCAGCACACAGGCUGGAGGAGAGACCCAGAACAAAGAAAGAACACACUUUGUAUAGCUUUGUAACCAGGGUAGUUUGGCUUAUUUUAAUUGGUGUAGCCAAUAACCUUUUUAGACAUUGGUUGGUUUGUAUAGGGUGACUCUCAUUUUGUCUGUCCUUGAGGUUUUUAGUGUGAGGUGGGGCAGGGGAAUUGUUAAUCUUGUUUUGGAGGCUUAGUAAUUUUGACUGUUAAAAUUAUGUUUUUAUAUUUGUUUAGUCAGCCAGCUUUUUAAAAAUCUGGCUCUGUGCUUGGCCUGCUAGUACAGUUUCAAAAGUCUUUUUGAAGGGGGAAGGUACUGGGUAGUCUUGAAUUUAUUUGGAUAUUACCAUUACGUCUUUUAGACUUGACUGUGGUGGUGACAAUGGCCAUUCCACAGGGAGGCCAGCUGACCCGUGCUGGGAAAGAGCAUCCCCUUGAUGGACUCACCACGUUUUAGGUUCUGGUCCUUGAUUUAGUCUUAUAACCCAGAUUUGUACACAUAUUCAGAGAGAAGCAGUUGGGAACCAAUUGGGACAAUGAUAUGUAAAUCAUGAUGCGAGUUUCUUAUUUUACUAUGGGAAAUACCAAAGUUUGGUAGACUCAGAACUACAAUCUAUGGGCCCAGCUGUGUUGUCCCUUUGGGAAAGUGACUGAAGUCAACUGAGGGUCUGAAGGGACAGAUUCGGGUGUUAGAGCUUAGGCUUGCAAUAGCUCCAGGAUGUCAAAGGGUUCUAUCUUGG
rnacentral:lncRNA from 1 species